rnacentral:rRNA from 1 species
AUUGAACGCUGGCGGCAGGCCUAACACAUGCAAGUCGAACGAGUGGCGGACGGGUGAGUAAUGUCUGGGAAACUGCCUGAUGGAGGGGGAUAACUACUGGAAACGGUAGCUAAUACCGCAUACCAUCGGAUGUGCCCAGAUGGGAUUAGCUAGUGGGUGGGGUAACGGCUCACCCAGGCGACGAUCCCUAGCUGGUCUGAGAGGAUGACCAGCCACACGGGAACUGAGACACGGUCCAGACGCCUACGGGAGGCAGCAGUGGGGAAUAUUGCACAAUGGGCGCAAGCCUGAUGCAGCCAUGCCGCGUGGAUGAAGAAGGCCUUCGGGUUGUAAAGUACUUUCAGCGGGGAGGCGUUACCCGCAGAAGAAGCACCGGCUAACUCCGUGCCAGCAGCCGCGGUAAUAC